rnacentral:lncRNA from 1 species
AGAAAUGCCAUUCAAAUGUACCUUUCUGGGCCAUCCUAUUUCCCAGAACAGCUUGCAUGUGGAUGGAGAGAAUAAUUGAGGAAUGCAAGUUCUGAAAAGAUGUCUCUUUUGAAGUUAUAUUUAAUUUCCAGACUGCUUUAUCCAGGCUUAGAGUCAAAAUAUUUAGCAAUAUAGUAGAAGAUGCAAAAUAGUUUUCUGCAUCUUCUACUGGGGAAACUAUACUUUCUAAUAUAAAAUGGAGAGAAAGAAAGAAAAACUCCUAUAUAUGGAGAAUGGUUUGUCAUCAAAUUUGGCUCAUCUGGAGAAAACAGCACAGAUGGUCUAGCUUGCUUCAGGAUUGCAGUUUCGUGCCAUGCAUGAUUCACCAGAGAAGGUAAAUAUGGAAUCAAAGCCAAGAGUUUACAACUUUGGAUCACAAGGGAACAAUUAGGAAGCUCCUCUUUAGGAUUUAUUAACUAACUCCAAAACAAGCCAACAUUUUCCAGAUAUCAGGUUCCCUCCUUGGUGAAUCUUUUUGAAUGAGGUUUAUUGGGUGAUAUUUAUGAUUAUACUCUAUAAAUAUACAUAGAAAAGAAAAUCAUGAGACUUUAAAAAGGGUGUUAUAAUGCUAUUCCAGGAAUUACUUUUUCUAAGAGUUCAGGUUCUUGGGUAGCUGAACCAUCAUUUUGUCCACCUCUUCUAUUUACUGCCCACAGAUUCUU